GAAAGGAGGGAUAGAAAACAUCAUGGCGAUGGAGAAACAGUAGAGCAUGGAGGUAGCGACAGAUUUCCAGCUUGCAUUAAAUGGUAUUAGGAGGAAGGAGCACAGAGCUGUGCUUGUCCCUGCUACCUGGCGCUGGCAGGUGGGUGGAGCUACAAAGUACACUGUAGCUUUUGCUGUUUGAGCUGCUAUUUGCUUGGAAGCGUGGGUACGGCGUGGCUUCUGGGUUAGGUGCUGACGUCCGUCGGCUUUUCGGACGUGAGAGGAGCUGCGAGUUCAGCUGGUGGGCGACCCCACUGGUUUUCGCUGAAGUGGGCGGCGUCCGGAGUUACUUCAUAACUGGAUUAAGCGGAGAUAAAACGACUGGAUGGACCGCAUGUCGAGUGGCGAGAAAACUGCUAGAAGGUCGUCAGCAUUCGGUCUGUCGGAAGCGUCGCCGUGACGUUCGGUGUGUUUCUUGAAUUGCCGGAGGAAAAGCAGAGUAGUUUGAGUAGUUGUUCAUCUGAUGCGCUGACAGACGAGCGGACGAUUGUAGUGAAUGGAAGGACACGCCACUGCUCACAGCCCGACAUAUACCAACAACAGCAGAGAGUACACACUUUAAGGCGGCGAGGCGUGAUUGCGGGUGCCGCUCAGGUGCGUC
ensembl:lncRNA